rnacentral:rRNA from 1 species
GUGGGGAAUAUUGGACAAUGGGCGAAAGCCUGAUCCAGCCAUGUCGCGUGUGUGAAGAAGGUCUUCGGAUUGUAAAGCACUUUAAGUUGGGAGGAAGGGCAGUAAGUUAAUACCUUGCUGUUUUGACGUUACCGACAGAAUAAGCACCGGCUAACUUCGUGCCAGCAGCCGCGGUAAUACGAAGGGUGCAAGCGUUAAUCGGAAUUACUGGGCGUAAAGCGCGCGUAGGUGGUUCAGCAAGUUGGAGGUGAAAUCCCCGGGCUCAACCUGGGAACUGCCUCCAAAACUACUGGGCUAGAGUACGGUAGAGGGUAGUGGAAUUUCCUGUGUAGCGGUGAAAUGCGUAGAUAUAGGAAGGAACACCAGUGGCGAAGGCGACUACCUGGACUGAUACUGACACUGAGGUGCGAAAGCGUGGGGAGCAAACAGGAUUAGAUACCCCUGUAGUCC